rnacentral:rRNA from 1 species
GACGCUGGCGGCGUGCCUAACACAUGCAAGUCGAGCGGAGUUAUCCGAGCGGAAGUUUUCGGAUGGAAGCAUGGAUAACUUAGCGGCGGACGGGUGAGUAACGCGUGGGCAAUCUGCCUUUUACAGGGGGAUAACACAGGGAAACCUGUGCUAAUACCCCCAUAUGCGCGUAGCUGAGAUGCUAUUCGUGAAAACUCCGGUGCUCUAGGAUGAGUCUGCAUCUGAUUAGCUAGUUGGGGGUGUAAUGGACCACCAAGGCGACGAUCAGUAGCNGGUUUGAGAGGAUGAUCAGCCACAAUGGGACUGAGACACGGCCCCAUACUCCUACGGGAGGCAGCAGUAGGGAAUUUUGCGCAAUGGGCGAAAGCCUGACGCAGCAACGCCGCGUGAUUGAAGAAGCCCUUCGGGGUGUAAAGAUCUGUCAGUGGGGACGAAACUUGACGGUACCCACAGAGGAAGCAUCGGCUAACUCCGUG